rnacentral:tRNA from 1 species
ACUGAGGAAUUGUCCGUGCAAGUCGAACCAUUUUGACACCCAACAGCUAGCCUUCCCACUCAAACUAAUCAAGUCC